CGGCUCACCCGGAAGUAGCGCCGAUUCGCAAAUUCGGAUACUGGUAGCGGAAUUGUGGUUCUGAAAAGAGCGCUGGGUGAUUAAACAAAUUGUCUAUAUAAGGUGUGCCCGACAGCCCUAUUGGACAACUGUUAAAAUUCAUAUUAUGGCAAGAACCAGUCAGUUAACUAAAGAGAAAAGAGUGGCCAUCAUUACUUUAAAAAAUGAAGGUCAGUCAGUCCGGAAAAUUGCAAAAACUUUAAAUCUGUCCCCAAGUGGAGUCGCAAAAACCAUCAAGCGCUACAACGAAACUGGCACACUUGAGGACCGACCCAGGACAGGAAGACCAAGAGUAACCUCUGCUUCUGAAGACAAGUUCAUCCGAGUCACCAGCGUCAGAAAUCGCAAGUUAUCAGCAGAUGCGAAGAAACGCGCGAAAGGGCCGCAAGAAUGGGAGAGGAGGUCGCACCUAGUGCAGAGAUUCUAUCCUGGUGGCGCACUCAUCCCGGCAUCCCCCCUUUGAGGCGACUGGCACAAGAACACCGAGGACAAACUCAGCGCGUCUGGCAAGAAGAAGAUGCGCACAGUGUUCUCCCGGAGCCAGGUGUUCCAGUUCAAGUCCACGUUCGACGUCAAGUGCUACCUGAGCAGCUCUGAGCACGCCUGCUUUGCCUCCAGCCUGCAGCUGACCUAGACUCAAGUCAAUCCUUCUUUUGCCAAGUGCCACAUUUUGCUAAGAAUAAGGAUUAUUUAUACUGAAUGUACUGUAUACAUUCCAAUGAAUACCAAAAUUGAGCUGUGAGUUUUAUGUCAGUGUUGUUGGUGUAACCUGCUUUAGCUUUUUAUACUUUUUUGUGAUUGCAUUAAUAUUAUUCUCAAAACACGCUACACUCUUCGCCAAUUGGGAAAAUGUGCCUGUACUUUGGUUUUUCUCUCUAUCCAGAUACUGUCAGCGUCAGCAGCAUACAUCACAGCUUGUAUAAGACAAUUAGCAGAACAAGCUACCAAGUGCAUGGUAAUGAUUGAGAUAAUCAGCAUCAGUGAUUCUCUAUAUGGCCUUUUUUCAUAUUGUUUAUUUCUAAUUCCCAGACCAUUAUGUUUAUCUGCAGUAUAAAUGUGUGUAUUCUGUGGGGAAGUGCAUCUGACAGUAAAAAUCCAAAGAUUUUCUCUAAACCCCCCAUACAGUAACUCUCACUGUAUGUUACUGUAAACAGUAGGGGUGUGUAUUGGCAAAAUACUGUACAUAUUGCAGCAUUCUAUGGUUCACUGAAAAUGUAAAAACCGAGCAGUGAUCGGCCUGUGUGGAUCACAUAACAUUAAUCAUGUAGCCAAAUCAUCAUAAAUUACAACUGAUUUUUGGGCUAGAUUUGUGUAUAGAAACAUUGAUAUUUGAUGUCCCUGUAUCAAUACAAUAUCACCAUGUAAAAUAUCACAAUAUAUUGCUCUAUGUAUACUUUGUAAAAUGCCUAGUAAACUUUUUUUUAAUCAUCCAGAUUAAACCAUAUUUGAAGAAACCACCAUAGAGCUCGUGUGAUGGUUUAAUAAUCUUAAUUAUGUGCCAACAUGCCCCC
ensembl:lncRNA